rnacentral:rRNA from 1 species
GGCCUAACACAUGCAAGUCGAGCGGUAGCACAGGAGAGCUUGCUCUCUGGGUGACGAGCGGCGGACGGGUGAGUAAUGUCUGGGAAACUGCCUGAUGGAGGGGGAUAACUACUGGAAACGGUAGCUAAUACCGCAUAACGUCUUCGGACCAAAGAGGGGGACCUUCGGGCCUCUUGCCAUCAGAUGUGCCCAGAUGGGAUUAGCUAGUAGGUGAGGUAAUGGCUCACCUAGGCAACGAUCCCUAGCUGGUCUGAGAGGAUGACCAGCCACACUGGAACUGAGACACGGUCCAGACUCCUACGGGAGGCAGCAGUGGGGAAUAUUGCACAAUGGGCGCAAGCCUGAUGCAGCCAUGCCGCGUGUAUGAAGAAGGCCUUCGGGUUGUAAAGUACUUUCAGCGAGGAGGAAGGCGUUAAGGUUAAUAACCUUGGCGAUUGACGUUACUCGCAG